rnacentral:tRNA from 3 species
GCUAGCGUAACUUAAUUAAAGUAUAACAUUGAAGAUGUUAAGAUGGACCCUAAAAAGCCCCGCAAGCA